rnacentral:lncRNA from 1 species
GGGCUGCUCGCUGUUUUCCUUAUUGCUGUUGCAUUCUGUGAUGUCCUGGGCAGUCAGUUCAUCCUCUGUGAUGAUUUUUAAGGGAUCAUAGAUGCUGAUGCGGUGAAGCCGCCCGUCGAUGUCUACUUCCACGAUGCGCUGGGCCUGAGCAUACGUCAGCGUCUCCCGAGUGGGCGAGCACUUGAGGCUGUAGGCUGAAGGAGAACGCCGGCCCUCCAGUUUCUGCCGUGACCUCCUCCGAGGCUUCCUCAUCGCUGCAGUCCACCAGAGACCCUCAGCGUCUCCGCGCGCGGUCUUCGCCGUCACCGCCGCCUCCUUAUCGUUUGGGGUUUUUUUUUUCGGUUUUUUUUUUUUUUCG